rnacentral:lncRNA from 1 species
GCGGAGGGCGGUCACGGAGCCAGGCCCAGUGAGAGGGCCCUGUAGUGCAUGCGGGCCCAGAGGCGGUCCCGGCGGCGGAGGAAGCGGGGAAAGAGGCGGCGCCAACCCCAGCCCAGAGCCCAGGGGAAGAUCUCGUAUUUGUGCUCCUCCUCAUCCUCCUCCAUGUCGUUGGCCAGGGAAAAAGGAAGGAAUCCAAACUGCUGUGAAGGAGGAGCUGAGAUCUGUGCUACCAAAGGGACAAAAGCUGCCUUCAGAAGUUGAAAUCUGUAUUAAAAGGAAAAAAAUCUGGUUAAAAUAAAGGAAUUUGGUUAAAAGGAAAACAUUUCUUUUAAGAAAUAAAGGCAUAUUGAAGGCGAA